GAGGCCCAGCCACGUGCUGUGUCUGGCAGCUCGAGGCAGAGCCUCAAUGUAUCCUGAAUAAACCUCUUCCCCCAAGAGCAACCACAGAGAUCUCGCCUGAAUCUGUCCGUGGAAUACAAUACACGUCGUUACAGACUGGCGCCCAUCGUCGAAUACGAACCCACGGUGACCUGCAACUGCACCCGUCUGGAUGCUUUCCAGCUUUUCUACCUGUAGGACACCUUUCCAUGGACACUAACUAUAUAACCAGGUAUUUCCUCGCCAUCGUGGUCGCGAGCACGGCAUUCUGCUGCUAGGCAGUAACGAACCGGAGCUCUUUAAAAAGUCCCGAAGCCGUCGUACAGCUCAGCGACUCGUUACAUAGUAGCGAGCUAUUAGAGCCCUUAUACGACUUCUGGCCAUUAUUCUCCGAGCACAAGAGAUCGCCGCGAUUCCGCGGCGACCCAAGGCUUUGUGACGACACUUGCCGCGCCACGUGGCCACGUACACAAAGCACAGGCGAGCACUGCUUAGCACUGCCCGCGCUGAAGCUCUGGAAAAACCCCGCGGUGACCUCAGCACCGACUGCAGUAAACGUCGGAACCUGACAGAGGAUCCCGCUCCUGCGACACCGAGGUGGACAACUCAAGUUGGUCCCAGGAAAGAAUGUAAAGCCUUACCACGCAUCGAAAUCUGCUGACACCCCCACACCAGACAGUUCCUCUACAAGCACAAGCCAAGAAGCCAGCACCCAGACCUGAACCACGCUGCGUCAUCGAGAGAAAAAUGGACUUUCUAUCGUUUAAUGCGUGCAUAUUGUUUUUGUUCUUCUGUUUCAGUUUUUAUAUUGAAGUUUUACUUAUAAUUCAACCAAAGACAAAUGCCGAGUAGCUUUAGCCAAGCCUGCAAGCUCUAAGACCACCUAUAUAUCUAACACAAACCCUAACAAACCUUUUUCAACCCGUUUAAUUAUAAGACCUUUUCCAAAAAAUUCUGACAAUGCCUCCCCUACUAUAAUCAGUGAUUUAAUAACAAUAAAGCCAUCUCAGCUACACAGUUGACUUAAUGGUUCGAGACUUGCACCUUGGCUAAAGGAACUCUGUAAAAUAAGCUUAACUGUUUCAGUAGCAAUAAGUAUAGUUCUAGUAACAAUACCCUGUACACCUCCAAGUGUGCAGAAAAUAGUUGUUAAAUCAAUAUCUAAUAUUUCAAA